UACGUAGGGUGCAAGCGUUGUCCGGAAUUUAUUGGGCGUAAAGAGCUCGUAGGCGGUCUGUCGCGUCGGAUGUGAAAACCCAGGGCUCAACCCUGGGCCUGCAUUCGAUACGGGCAGACUAGAGUUCGGUAGGGGAGACUGGAAUUCCUGGUGUAGCGGUGAAAAUGCGCAGAUAUCAGGAGGAACACCGGUGGCGAAGGCGGGUCUCUGGGCCGAAACUGACACUGAGGCGCGAAAGCGUGGGGAGCGAACGG
rnacentral:rRNA from 1 species